rnacentral:rRNA from 1 species
UNGGAAUCACUGGGCGUAAAGGACGCGUAGGCGGAUUAUCAAGUNUCUUGUGAAAUCUAACGGCUUAACCGUUAAACUGCUUGAGAAACUGAUAAUCUAGAGUAAGGGAGAGGCAGAUGGAAUUCUUGGUGUAGGGGUAAAAUCCGUAGAGAUCAAGAAGAAUACCCAUUGCGAAAGCGAUCUGCUGGAACUUAACUGACGCUAAUGCGUGAAAGCGUGGGGAGCAAACAGGAUUAGAUACCCUGGUAGUCCACGCCCUAAACGAUGUAUACUAGUUGUUGCUUCGCUAGUCGAGGCAGUAAUGCACCUAACGGAUUAAGUAUACCGCCUGGGGAGUACGGUCGCAAGAUUAAAACUCAAAGGAAUAGACGGGGACCCGCACAAGCGGUGGAGCAUGUGGUUUAAUUCGAAGAUACGCGAAGAACCUUACCCGGACUUGAUAUCUAACAAAUCAUCCAGAGAUGGAAGAGUGUCUGCUUGCAGAAAUGUUAAGACAGGUGCUGCACGGCUGUCGUCAGCUCGUGUCGUGAGAUGUUGGGUUAAGUCCCGCAACGAGCGCAACCCACGUCAUUAGUUGCUAACGGUUCGGCCGAGCACUCUAAUGAGACUGCCUUCGCAAGGAGGAGGAAGGUGUGGACGACGUCAAGUCAUCAUGGCCCUUAUGUCCGGGGCGACACACGUGCUACAAUGGCGUAUACAAUGAGACGCAAUAUCGCGAGAUGGAGCAAAUCUAUAAAAUACGUCCCAGUUCGGAUUGGAGUCUGCAACUCGACUCCAUGAAGCCGGAAUCGCUAGUAAUCGUAGAUCAGCCAUGCUACGGUGAAUACGUUCCCGGGUCUUGUACUCACCGCCCGUCACACCAUGGGAGUUGACUUCACUNGAAG